rnacentral:rRNA from 1 species
UCCAGACUCCUACGGGAGGCAGCAGUGGGGAAUAUUGCACAAUGGGGGAAACCCUGAUGCAGCGACGCCGCGUGAGUGAAGAAGUAUUUCGGUAUGUAAAGCUCUAUCAGCAGGGAAGAAAUAGCGACCUUUGGGUCGCCAGACGGUACCUGAUUAAGAAGCCCCGGCUAACUACGUGCCAGCAGCCGCGGUAAUACGUAGGGGGCAAGCGUUAUCCGGAUUUACUGGGUGUAAAGGGAGCGUAGACGGCGACGCAAGUCUGAAGUGAAAUGCCAGUGCUCAACACUGGAACUGCUUUGGAAACUGUGCAGCUAGAGUGCAGGAGAGGUAAGUGGAAUUCCUAGUGUAGCGGUGAAAUGCGUAGAUAUUAGGAGGAACACCAGUGGCGAAGGCGGCUUACUGGACUGUAACUGACGUUGAGGCUCGAAAGCGUGGGGAGCAAACAGGAUUAGAUACCCGUGUAGU